UCUAGCGGCGGACGGGUUAGUAACGCGUGGGAACGUACCCUUUUCUACGGAAUAGCCUCGGGAAACUGAGAGUAAUACCGUAUACGCCCUUUGGGGGAAAGAUUUAUCGGAGAAGGAUCGGCCCGCGUUAGAUUAGAUAGUUGGUGGGGUAAUGGCCUACCAAGUCUACGAUCUAUAGCUGGUUUGAGAGGAUGAUCAGCAACACUGGGACUGAGACACGGCCCAGACUCCUACGGGAGGCAGCAGUGGGGAAUCUUAGACAAUGGGCGCAAGCCUGAUCUAGCCAUGCCGCGUGAGUGAUGAAGGCCUUAGGGUCGUAAAGCUCUUUCGCCUGUGAAGAUAAUGACUGUAGCAGGUAAGGAAACCCCGGCUAACUCCGUGCCAGCAGCCGCGGUAAUACGGAGGGGGUUAGCGUUGUUCGGAAUUACUGGGCGUAAAGCGCGCGUAGGCGGACAUUUAAGUCAGAGGUGAAAUCCCAGGGCUCAACCCUGGAACUGCCUUUGAUACUGGGUGUCUUGAGUUCGAGAGAGGUGAGUGGAAUUCCGAGUGUAGAGGUGAAAUUCGUAGAUAUUCGGAGGAACACCAGUGGCGAAGGCGGCUCACUGGCUCGAUACUGACGCUGAGGUGCGAAAGUGUGGGGAGCAAACAGGAUUAGAUACCCUGGUAGUCCACACCGUAAACGAUGAAUGCUAGUCGUCGG
rnacentral:rRNA from 1 species